rnacentral:lncRNA from 1 species
CUUCAGGUAGGUUUAUGCCGUGUCUAUGCCUCAUACCUGAACAAAAUCCAUAGAUAUUGGCACCAAAAACUAUUAACUAAACUGAAAUUAGACAAUGUGUUGAUCAUAAUCGCUAAUAACAAAAUUUGUUUAGCAAACCUAACAUAUCAUAAGCCUUGGCUCUUCUCCAAAGACUUUUGCAUGCCUUAUUUACAGGAUUAUGAAAGCAAAAUGCGCGCGUGGCGUCCCUUAUAGCAACCAAAAGCUGUUGAAGGAAGGGGCUUUGAAAGGGCUUAGCAACCGAAAUAAUGGUGUGAAAUUGGAUAACUAUAUGGGCCUUUUUUUGUUGAGUCUAGAAUGGGCGUUUAUACAAGGACACUUAGCCCACGUAAUACCCACGGGAUACAAAUACGGACGUACUCGCGUAACGGCGAUUCAACUCGUUGAUCGAGGAGAUGCUGGUUCAGUGGUUUGUAAACAUAUAUUCUCGAAUAAUCUUG